UGGUCCUUUAAGUAGAGCAAUGAUUUAUUAACUAAAACAGCUCACUGUAUCACAGAAUGACAAAUACCUUCUCAUUAAAAUUUACUGGAUCAUUGCAGAGUUAACACCAUGCCAUUACAAGAGGAUUCGUUCAGAACUCACAGACUGCCCGAACAACUCAUUAACCUUUUGCUGUAUCACAGACUGCCCGAACAUGUCUUCGCAACCUUUACUGUGUCAAAGAAUGGCAAGGCAUGGCCUCAUUAAUGCUUAUUGUGUCACAGAAUGGCAGAGUGGCUUUUCAUUAACCCUUACUAUGUCUCAGACUG